GUCUUUUUGAUAAUAAUUUAAAGUCUAGCCUGCCCAAUGAUAAUUUAAAUGGCCGCGGUAUUUUGACCGUGCAAAGGUAGCAUAAUCAUUAGUUUUUUAAUUGAAAGCUUGUAUGAAAGGUUGAACGAAAAAAUUACUGUCUCAAUUUUAUUUAAUAAAAAUUUUAUAUUUGAGUUAAAAAGCUUAAAUAUAUUUAAAAGACGAGAAGACCCUAUAGAGUUUUAUAUAAUUUAAAAUUUAUUUGUAAAUAAUUAAAUUUAAUUUUAAUUUAUAUUUUAUUGGGGUGAUAAAUAAAUUUAAUAAACUUUAUAUAAUUUUUUACAUUGAUUUAUGAUAAUUUUGAUCCAUAUUUUUGAUUAUAAGAUUAAAUUACCUUAGGGAUAACAGCGUAAUUUUUUUUGAGAGUUCUUAUCGAAAAAAAAUUUUGCGACCUCGAUGUUGGAUUAAAAUUUAAUUUUGGUGUAGAAGCUAAAAUAUUGAGUCUGUUCGACUUUUAAAAUUUUACAUGAUCUGAGUUUAAACCGGUGUAAGCCAGGUUGGUUUCUAUCUUUAAAAAAUUAAAAUAUUUUAGUACGAAAGGACCAAAUAUUUAUAAAAAUUAUUUUAAUUGAAUAU
rnacentral:rRNA from 1 species